UCAAUAAGGAAACGUUUUUCAAAAUAGGCUCUAACGGAUAUAAUUUCCCACUAGACUCCAAAUCUCAAUUUCCGGCCUACUCAGGACGGGAAGGAGAAACAGAUCGACCUGAUUUGGUCAUUUUUUCUUUUCGCUCCGUGUGUGUUCAGAAAGAACCAUUUUGGAAAAUCUGUCUAUUAGACACCUCAUAGAGGAUUAAUUUCCAUAAGGUUUCAUUUCAAGUGAAAAGGUGCCUGUUAGUUUCGUACUUAUAGAGUAUUGCUAUUGUUUGGUUGUGGCCCUCUCACCCUAUUCAGGGAUCAGAGAACCCCACGUGAGUACGCCAUUUUUGUCAACCUUUUCCGUCCAUUUGUGCUUUUUUGAGACGUUUUCUCAUUUUCAUUUUCUCCUAUUAUAGGGCGAUCUACGUGUGAUUAGUUCAUAGACGAUUUUGUUUAACCAUUACGAGUUGGGAUUUACUCAAAUCAGUAUUUUGGAAAAAUACUGAAAUCUAUUUUGUGGAAACCGAAAAAGAAAUACUUGUCUUCAGUAUUUCUCCGGAUUUUAUUGUAAAUGAAACCCUUCUGAACUGGAAGGGUUUUUUUUGGGGGGUACCGUUUUCCUGUAGGAAGAAUUCACGCCAGAUCAACAACCACUCUGGAACAUUUUGACUACCUAUCUUGGCGGAUUCUUUAGAUUCAAGAUUGUUGUUUGGACUUGGGGGCGGAGAAGACGCGCAAGUACCUGAAACAAUAAAAAAAUUGACUAUAUUUUUUUCAUAUAUUAUUCACAUUAUCGUGAUUAAUAACUUACUGUUAAUUGUGUAAAGCGGAAAUUAAGUCGUGUUUUGAACCAGUUAAUUAUUUUUUCGUGAUACUGAGUCUGCGCUCUGUCUGGGCCCACAGCAAAUGACUUCGGAAUCCUUGUAAAAUAUUCUUGAAGGUGAGUUACCUGCGGCUUCACUUCCUGCUCUUUGUGUAUUUAAGUUUGAUUUAUACGUAGCUGGCUCUAUUUUUUUUUAUUGAGAAGUUUAAGGUAACUAGUAAGGAAACUUAGAAAGUUAUCAACUCCGUUUGGCUUUAAGUAUUGAUUUGAAUUUGUUUAAAACACAUCGAUUAAAUCCAUGGAUGCUAAAAGUUUUUUUCAACCUGUGCUAAUUUUAUUUUCACGUUAUCAAUAUACUGAUCUAUUGGAAUGGUGGCUGGUCAAUUUUAUUUCUUUUCUCUUGGUAAGUUGGAGAAUUGGUAAAGAUAUUAGUGAAAUCUAUUGGCAUUUCAACUUACCUGGCGCCCAAAUA